GUAGGUGGCAAGCGUUGUCCGGAAUUAUUGGGCGUAAAGCGCGCGCAGGCGGUUCUUUAAGUCUGGUGUGAAAGCCCACGGCUCAACCGUGGAGGGUCAUUGGAAACUGGAGAACUUGAGUACAGAAGAGGAAAGCGGAAUUCCACGUGUAGCGGUGAAAUGCGUAGAGAUGUGGAGGAACACCAGUGGCGAAGGCGGCUUUCUGGUCUGUAACUGACGCUGAGGCGCGAAAGCGUGGGGAGCAAACAGGGAUUAGAUACCCUGGUAGUCCACGCCGUAAACGAUGAGUGCUAAGUGUUAGGGGGGUUUCCGCCCCCUUAGUGCUGCAGCUAACGCAUUAAGCACUCCGCCUGGGGAGUACGGCCGCAAGGCUG
rnacentral:rRNA from 1 species